UACAGAGGUCCCGAGCGUUGUUCGGAUUCACUGGGCGUAAAGGGUGCGUAGGUGGUUCGGUAAGUCGGGUGUGAAACCUCCAGGCUCAACCUGGAGACGCCACCCGAUACUGCCGUGACUAGAGUCCAGUAGGGGAGCGUGGAAUUCCUGGUGUAGCGGUGAAAUGCGCAGAUAUCAGGAGGAACACCAGCGGCGAAGGCGGCGCUCUGGGCUGGCACUGACACUGAGGAGCGAAAGCGUGGGGAGCGAACAGG
rnacentral:rRNA from 1 species